UAAGCCCACAACGGAAGCACUCAUCGGGUACAUGCAACAAACCCGCCGAUCAGACAGAAUUUUUUCUAUUUGCACAAUACGUCACAAACAUGUAUACGCAACAUAUUCCAAAUAGAAAUUGAAUACAUGAAUUACAUAAGGAAAGUAUUAAAAAACGAAAGUAAAUACUACUUCUAUUACAUUUCAUAAUUCAUUCAUUUACAUAUAUAAACUUUUCAAUCCAAAAUACAAUCCAAAAUAAGCUUUACACUUUCAUAUCCCAUCUUUACAUUGUUCAAAAU
rnacentral:lncRNA from 1 species